rnacentral:lncRNA from 1 species
CAUGUGCUUGUCGUGUGCAACAGGGAGGGGCAAUUGAAUGCAAGCUUCAUAAAAAACUAAAACAUUUUGAAAAAAUGUCUAGCCUGUCUAUCUCUGGGUAACAGGGUUGUGCUCGACCCGCUCAGUUUUCCACCACAAAACACCAGGAAAUGGUCAAAAAGAGUAGAACCAGCUCACCUGCUUUUACACUAUGAUUAGAUGUUCAACAUUUCUUUAGAAAAAAAUACAUUUAAAAAGGAAGAGUUUCACGAUAUUAAAAAGAUAGUUCAGUUCACGUAAGAGGGUUGAACUUAAUUAUCUUCAGAAAUGACUAGGGCUUUACAAUGAUGGUGAAGACUUGGAGAAAUGUUGGGGUUACAUGGGUUAAAAUCUUCCUAAAAGUCACAUAGGAUGCACAGAGGGACAAUUUUGGCACUUUAGCAAGUCUUUAUUCAUAUCAAAGUCAGAUUUAUCGAAUUUUCCAAAAGAUCUAUAUUAAAGGGCACUUCAUUUAAUAACACAGGCUUCAAAAAUGCUAUAUUUGUGCACAAUGUCUACUUGAAAUACCAAAGGGAUGCAAAAAGCCACUCAUUUUAUGGAACGACCCUACUAACUUACCAAGAGACAUGGGCGGGGUUUUGUGACUGAAAACAUAUCUGAGUCUAUAGCUUAGUAGAGUAAGUAAGUAAAUGAAAUGAGCAUUAGUUAAUUAAGGUGUGGUUUCAUGUCUAGACAAGAACCACUAGCGUGGGAUGCUUAUGGUCAACGUUCAAACAUAGGGUAUGAUCGCACAUAUUAUGACUUUAGCUAAUAAAUCAUGUAUUAAUGAAAAUAUACAUUUAAAUGCAGACAGUGGUUGUUGUUCAAAUUCCUUUGAUCCCUGUAUGGAGCGGUAGUAUUGUGGGUGGUGACAGACUGUGACAAACUAAAGUAAAUAGGCAUGAUUUGCUUUCCCUUCUACUGACACAAUCAGUACCACUGCUGCAACUAACUGUCCAAGUGAUUGUGCAUUUAGUCCCAGUUCUAGAACAGCACCAUAACACAUCAGUAAGUAUCUAGCUCACCUCUGGUGCGUCCUGCAGAUCUGGCUCAGUAUUUCUAUGUGUUCCUGUCCAGUGCUGUUGGUCUCAGCUGGGGAGGUGCUCUCUGCUACUCUACUCCAGAGGAAACAGACUGCAAGGGACCAAGGGAAAUCCACCCAUGACAGAACAUGCAAAAUACUAACGACCUCGCCACACACGAAAAUACCCCACCUAUAGAAACUCAGAAAAUAAACAUCAUAUUCCGCUCUGCCCAGCACAUCUGGAAACACGUUAUCUUGGUUACCCAGAGGUCAAAUUCUCUCGCGAACGUUUGUCAUUUCCUAUUUGACUUCUGGGGAAAAUGCCGUUAACAAUUGUGAUAACCUUUGUGCAAAGGAAGGAAGCGAAGUCUCCUCCCUCUCAAAUGGAAAUUAUAGGCCAAACCCCUUCCUUCAGCUAAUUUCACCUGUGUUUAUAGGCCAAAAGAGACUGUUGUUUUUAUAAAUUUUUACAAUAUAGCCAAUUUUGACUUUGUGUCUGUGGAAUCUAGGUAAUGGGUGCGUGCUGGUGGCAGGAAGUCAGGCGCAGGAGAACGAACUUGGUAUAAACUAAGUCGUUUAAUAAGUGCUCACAAAACUCUGAAAACCAAAAUAUACAAAAUAAUAAAAGUAGGUACAAAACCCGUCGCGCACCAGAACAUAACUUGCACAUCACAUACAAAGAAACAACCAAUCACCGACAAGGACAUGAGGGGAAACAGAGGGUUAAAUACACAACAUGUAAUUUAUGAGAUUGGAACCAGGUGUGAUGUAAGACAAGACAAAACCAAUGGAAAAUGAAAAAUGGAUCAGCGAUGGCUAGAAGGUCGGUGACGUCGACCGCCGAACACCGCCCGAACAAGGAGAGGGACCGACUUCGGCGGAAGUCGUGACAAUCUAGUAGAAACUGUUUAUCAUCUGCUGGGAAAUCACUGCACAAGCACCUCCUUGGCCCAAUCCUGAUUCGUUCAAAUAAUCAAUGAAGAAAACCCCAAAACAGGAACUGCUGCUGCUCAUAAUCACAUAGUUUUACGUUGUCUUGACAGAUUCUCGCAGUUUCGUCUCUCCACGAGAAUCUGUCCACAAGAGAUUAGGAAACACUGCAAAAAAAAUGGUUCCUUUCCUUCAGUCAGUUGAAUGGAUCUUAAAGUAACAUUAUAAAUACUGUCACCACAGUUCCCAGAGUGACAUCAUAAAUCACUGGCACCACAGUCCCCAGAGUGACAUCAUAAAUCACUGUCACCACAGUUCCCAGAGUGACAUCAUAAAUCACUGUCACCACAGUUCCCAGAGAGACAUCAUAAAUCACUGGCACCACAGUCCCCAGAGUGACAUCCUAAAUCAGUGUCACCACAGUCCCCAGAGUGACAUCAUAAAUCAGUGGCACCACAGUCCCCAGAGUGACAUCAUAAAUCACUGGCACCACAGUCCCCAGAGUGACAUCCUAAAUCCCAGGCACCACAGUCCCCAGAGUGACAUCCUAAAUCAGUGUCACCACAGUCCCCAGAGUGACAUCCUAAAUCAGUGUCACCACAGUCCCCAGAGUGACAUCCUAAAUCAGUGUCACCACAGUCCCCAGAGUGACAUCCUAAAUCAGUGUCACCACAGUCCCCACAGUCCCCAGAGUGACAUCAUAAAUCAGUGUUACUACAGUCCCCAGAGUGACAUCAAAAAUCAGUGUCACUACAGUCCCCACAGUCCCCAGAGUGACAUCAUAAAUCAGUGUCACCACAGUCCCCAGAGUGACAUCAUAAAUCAGUGUCACUACAGUUCCCAGAGUGACAUCAUAAAUCAGUGUCACCACAGUCCCCACAGUCCCCAGAGUGACAUCAUAAAUCAGUGUCACCACAGUCCCCAGAGUGACAUCAUAAAUCAGUGUCACUACAGUUCCCAGAGUGACAUCAUAAAUCAGUGUCACUACAGUUCCCAGAGUGACAUCAUAAAUCAGUGUCACUACAGUACCCAGAGUGACAUCAUAAAUCAGUGUCACUACAGUUCCCAGAGUGACAUCAUAAAUCAGUGUCACCACAGUUCCCAAAGUUUAGAAAGAAAUACACUGCAAUUCAACAGCUCCAUUAAAACAAAAGACAUAGUGGAGAUAAGUAUUAGCAAUGUGAUGGCAAGGAUACAGUCCUCAUCCAGGGAGUAGGCCUCUGCUAUCUGUGAAGAACGAGACAUAGAGAGAGCAAGAGAGAGAGAGAAAGAGUUAACAUUUGGCAAUGUUAGCAUAUGUUUCACAUGCCAAUAAAGUCCUUAAAUUGAAAUUUAAUUGAGAGAGAGGGGAAAAAAACACUACAAACCGACCUGCUCACUCAGAAUCAGACUUGUAUGUCAGGGUUUUACUUAAAAAUAUAAUGUGUUCUCAAUAUGUUACAUAAAGAAAUACAUAAACUAGAUAAAAUAAUUUACUUUCUAAAUUAAACUAUUUUAUUACAAAGUUUUUUUGCUGAAGAAAAAUGAUAUGCUUGAUUUAGCUGCAGACUCUAGAAUAGAUAUUCUCGUGCUUGGUAAUGAAGUCUUGGAAGGUUUAGGGAAAAAAGACUCAAGAUGGGACUCAGAUGUCACGUGGUAAAUAACAAGCCGUUGUGUGUCAGAUUCACUUAUAACAUGACGCGCAGCAGAACUCAAAACAACUCUGUAGAGCCACACACAUACUCCAGAUGCCAUGACAUUUCCCAUAGAGGUCAACGUCUGUUUACAAGGAGUUUACUUCUCUUGGUCAGUUAUUUUGCCAAUGCUCCACUGAAUUGUACCAGUCUGAUCACAGAGCAACUCUUUCUUCUGUAUCAGUGUAUAAGAGGCCCGUCCCAAUUGGCACCCUGUUCCCUGUAUAGAACGCUACUUUUGACCAGGGCCCAUAUGGGAUGACCAUAUGUAGGGAAUAGAGUGCCAUUUGAGACCCAGCCCUUAGUGUAUCAGUGUUGCCGGUCCUUUCUAUGGGACGUCUAAAUCAUAGAUGGCUCUUUGUUCCAUGAUGACCAGAAUUGGCAAAGAAAGAAAAACAACUACAAGGCUAUUACAGUACUAUGGGGGACAACACAGUGACAGAAUAAGAUUAGAACAGUGUACAGAGAAAGGGCAUCAAAGAGUAUCUGAAAUUAAUCCCAAGGAGUACCUUUAAAAAUGUGCUUGUCUUGUCCUACUGGCAGUGAAUUUGCUGAUUACUUUAAUGAGGGAAACGAUUACAUGUUGUUGUCUCACCAUGCUAUCUUUAGAUGAAUGCACUAACUGUAAAUCACUCUGGAUAAGAGCAUCUGCUAAAUGACUAAAAUGUCAAAUGUAAUGAUUACAUUUCUUAAAGCUUGAUUUAUUCUCCCUACAAACAAAAACAAAACAGAACGGAAAGGCAAGAUGUUUCAGUGGCAAAAAAAUAGGUGACAGAAGAGGAUGGUACAAAACACAACCAGCCCUUAGGACCAAUCCACAGAGGACCAGAACACAGAGGACUGUGUGAGGGUGAACACACACACACACACACACACACACACACACACACACACACACACACACACACACACACACACACACACACACACACACACACACACACACACACACACACACACCUGGUGUAGAGACUGUGGCAGCAGUGUGUGGUCAUUGUGUUCUCCCAAUGACUGUAGUGAGGCUAGCAGGUCAGGGCUGGGGCCUGGGGGACCACUUCCUGAAAGCACACACAAUGUCAUGUGCAAUACAAAGUUGAUGAAUAGAGAUGCAGUGGAAUGAAUCGGUGUAACAUUUUAAAAGGUAUGCAGUAGAAUGAAUAGGUGUAACAUUUGAAAAGGUAUGCAGUAGAAUGAAUAGGUGUAACAUUUGAAAAGGUAUGCAGUAGAAUGAAUAGGUGUAACAUUUUAAAAGGUAUGCAGUAGAAUGAAUAGGUGUAACAUUUUAAAAGGUAUGCAGUAGAAUGAAUAGGUGUAACAUUUUAAAAUAAUCUGUUAGAUUUUACAUUUUGAGGCUACUCUUAAGGUGUUAUCAUGGCAGCUAUAAAGAGUAAGGACAUUCUAAUGCUCUAGUAGCAAAGAUACAAUUUGUGCUUGUCUUUUGAAACAGCUUUAGGUAGGUGACCCAGAUAUACUACACAUACAGUACUGAACGAGAGGUGUG